GAUAAACGCUGGCGGCGUGCCUAAAACAUGCAAGUCGAACGGCUUACACUUUCGGGUGUAGGUAGUGGCGGACGGCUGAGUAACACGUGGGUGACCUGCCCUCGAGCGGGGGAUAACUGCCCGAAAGGGUGGCUAAUACCGCAGAUGUCAAUGAUUCGGUUCAUUGACUGAACCGUUUAGGGUUCGGGGAGGGGCCCGCGGCCGAUUAGCUAGCUGGUGGGGUAACGGCCUACCAGGGCGUCGAUCGGUAGCGGUCUGAGAGGAUGAUCAGCCAGACUGGGACUGCGAACGGCCCA
rnacentral:rRNA from 1 species